rnacentral:rRNA from 1 species
AACGUAGGAGACAAACGUUAUCCGGAGUUACUGGGCGUAAAGGGCGCGUAGGCGGUGAAUCGGGUUGAAAGUGAAAGUCGCCAAAAAGUGGCGGAAUGCUCUCGAAACCAAUUCACUUGAGUGAGACAGAGGAGAGUGGAAUUUCGUGUGUAGGGGUGAAAUCCGUAAAUAUACGAAGGAACGCCAAAAGCGAAGGCAGCUCUCUGGGUCCCUACCGACGCUGGGGUGCGAAAGCAUGGGGAGCGAACAGG